ACCACCUAGCAUGGUGCAACAAGGAAGUAAAAAGGCCUUAGUGCCUGAGGCAACUGGAUGUGACUUCUGUAGCUAGCAGGAACCGCCAUGAGUGCAGAAACUUUGGCUGCAUUGAGGGCUGCAUUAACAGGACAUGUCUCCUUUUCUUAUUGUCUAUGCUUGUGACCUCAUAGACUCAAUAUAAGUGGGGCCAGGAAGUUGAGUAGUGCAGGAUGUGAUUGCAUACAAUAAAGACUUGUGCUCCCAAGUUCCUGUGUCCCGGGUGUUCUGUUGAACAAAGAACUACUGCUCAAUGAGGCAGUGGCCAGAGACGUCUGAAGACCUGGGAUAAGGGAUAUAAAGGCAAAAAUGAAGCAACUUACUAAUGGCAUAGCGAGAAGAACACGAGUUCUGAAAUCCAAAGACCUGCCUUCAGAUCCCAGCUCUGAUGCAAAGUUCCUGAAUCUUAGUAAGCACUAUCCUCCAGCCAGCUCCAACUCGUGGCUCCAGUCUGUUGCGAGGAGUCUUUUCUUCCAGAGUGUUCUGUCUCAGAGCCCUGUUGAUGUUCUGGAGAAAUUUCUUUUUUGCUCCAAGAGCUU